GUACAACUCUGAGCGGUGGAGYNACUCGGCUCGUGUGUCGAUGAAGAGCGCAGCCAACUGUGUGAAUUAAUGUGA
rnacentral:rRNA from 1 species